UCCGACCAGGUCUCUUCCUAAACAUC
rnacentral:piRNA from 1 species